GGUUCUGGAGUAUAUAUUACGUUGAAUUGCAAAUUCGAAGAAGUAGCUUAGGUGCUGCCGGGGCCU
rnacentral:tRNA from 1 species